UGGCCCCUGGGUAGAACUAAUUGGGUUGAGUUGAGUGCUACACUAACAUAGCUAUCCAGUUUGCAAGUCUAAACCGGGUUCAAUUAGUGGUAACUUAGAGCUCUCUGCCUUUUACUGUGUUGUAACGCAUAGCAUAAAGGGCUUCCUGGGCAGAUUUAGGAGCACAGCACCAUUAACCAGCCUUUCAAAGGGGUAGCUAAGGUAAGCUCUGCUCACGUGCUGCAGAGCUCUGCAUGGGAAGAAUACCACUGAAUAUUGAUCACUCCAUCAAACAAACCAACAUGAUUCAACUCAACUCCAUAAAACUGACGAAAGGACAAAACUAAAUACAGCUCAGAAAUUAGGUGUGAGGACUUUCUUUACAGGACAUGCCUUGAUACACCUUGAGUAUAUGUAAGAGUUGGAGGCUUAGAUACAUAUUCUGUUUGUCUCUAUUUUUGAAGCAAGUUCAAGUAUCCCUACACAGCUGGGAUAAAAAGAUUCUGUAACCAUCACAGUCAUCCGGAACAACCUACAACAAUACUGUUUAGGUAAUUGUAUCUGCUUAAUCAAAGGACUAAAUGAACAAAAUCAGUAUGUUCAAAUGUUUACAAUUUCUACAUGGUUCAUAAUCAAAAGCAAGCAGGUUAAUAAAUGAAGGGAAAACAUGGUAUUAUUUCAUACUUAUUUCUGAGUACCAAGUAAAAAAAUACCCUAUACCCUUGACAUUGUACAGCUCUUCUUGUAUUUAACUUUACAGCUUCUAAAAAGGAACUGAAAGUGGUAUCAUUUCUGUUGCAAAGUUUUGGCAGAAAUAUUUCAGUAAUAUCAUCCUUACCAAUCUACCUCUAGGUAUAAUUAGGAUGAUUACAACUAUAAAAAAAUACAACACAUAACAGUGUUAGACAUGAAAGACUUUUUUUUUUUUCUACAAUCCUAGGAUAUUAAAAUAUCAGUUGUCCAACAUCAAGGGAAGAACAGCAAUGCCAACUGUACAUAAAUUCUUCCUUCUAUAUUAACUACACAGUGUAGAAGAUGCACUCACAAUUAAAUACAGAAGUACCUGGUUGCCCUGGUUCUCAUACUGGGAUUUACUGGGAUUCUGUCUACUGCUGCCACCGGUGAAUUGUGAAACUCGGUAUCAUUGAAUAUGACACUCUUAUCAAGACAGGGAAUUGCAAGCUGAUAUUAAGGCCCACAGAACAAAUAAACAUCACCAUAACAUCAUACAGUAACUUCAAAGAAGACAAUGGAAACUGAGCCAGUUUAAUUGUUUCCAGUUUCUUAUAUCACCUGAAAACUACAUAAUCUUCACCUACAUCAGUGGCCCAAGAUCCCAGAUUUACUGGCCAAAUAAAAAAGUUUCCAAAUUCUUAGGGACUGUAGGAAAUAGAACACUGGAUGGAUGGAAAAAUACAAGAUUACAAAACACCCCACAGUAAUCCUUUAAUGAAGGUUUUAAACUAACACGAACCCAUUAAAUAAUGUCACAUUUAAUUAGUACUUAAUAUCAUUAAUAAUGGAGUAAUUGGACCUCUUUACAAAAAGAAAGUCUAUUUAACACUGUCAUUAUUUCCGGCAAUACAAGUUACUGAAUAGUGUCUUAUUCUUAGUUGUUAUUAUUUUUUAAACAUAAAUAAGCCAGAAAUAAUGAGUGAGAGCAACUUUUCCGGGAACUGAAGACCAACCAUUUAAUUUCUGUCUGUAAAAAAACCUAAACCCACACUGUCUACUUGUGACUGUAUCAGGGGGGGAUAUAAAACUACUACUGUGCUUGUGUUGUCUUGGAAAUGUCUGCAACUUGGCCAGCUGACUCAAGUGGGAUAGCAUCGUAUGGAACUUCACAGCAAUUAUCACCCUGAAGAUAAGACCUACAGUGAGUUUUUAACAUCAGCAUGAAGACACCACUAAAGAGAAGUGGAGAAACUCACUCAUGAAGGCUAAAUUCAACCUGGCGAACAUCAUCUCACUACAGACAAGUAAGAGUGACAGACUUCCCCACAAAGCAGUUCAAAGCAGGAGUCCAGCUUGACUGCUCUGAUGCUGAGGAAGCCUUGCUCACCGCAGGAAGGAAGCAUGGGGAGGUCAGACUCACUGAACUGAAGUCAGCCUUUGUGCACAGCCCUUACACCGGCUGGAACAGCUGCUGAAAAGGCAAAACUUCUGUGACACGCUCACGCAGCUCCACCUUUAUCUAACAAAAAUACCUACAACACAGGGCAGAAAGUCUGUGCUAACAGGGGCUACUCUACAAUUCUGUUAGUCCAGUACUUUCGAGGAUGUAGACUUUUUCAGUGAUUAAAUUUGUGUUUAAUUAUGGGAAAAUGAAUUUUGUUCUCAACUCAUAUUUUAUUCAUUAAGAAUCAUGCUAAUAACUUUUUGUUAUUGUUUAUAACAAAGAUUUGUAAGAGAAAAUGUUGGUUUCCGUCCCUGUAAGCAAUUACAGGCAAAGAACAGAAAGGUGGACCCGACAGACUUCAGCAGCAUAUGGCAGGUAUAACUUGCCAGCCACACGUACACUGAAUUCAGCUGUAUGUCAAACAGGGCUGAGUGGCUGCAGGGCUGGAUUGCUGCCUUUUUUCUAGUUUCUCACAAAACUGUUUGGAGACGAUGUCCCGUUUAGCACAGGAGCGGCUAUUUCUAACAGCAUCUUCAGUCCCCCUGUACACACUUGGAUUUAUCAGAAGUCAUUUCUGUUGUUAUUCUUGAUCCUAUUAAUAUAGCAUUUUGAAAAAUAAAUGGUUGUUGCAAUUAUUUAGAGCA